GAUGAACGCUGGCGGCGUGCCUAACACAUGCAAGUCGAGCGGACAGGCGCCUUUCGUGGUCCUCGAGCGUUGAACGGGGGCGGAAGAGGAGCGUAACCAGACCUUACCUUCGGGACAAGGAUAACUACCGGGGACCAAUACUGAUAAGGAAUCAUUUCUUCAUGGGGGUGGUUGGAUAGUGUCGGCGGUUUUUGAUGUGCUUGCUGCUUAGCAGCUUGUUGGUGUAGCAGUGGCUUACCAAGGCUUUGUCGGGUAGCCGGCCUGAGUGGGCGACCGGCCACCUUGGGACUGAGAUGCGGCCCCGACUCCUACGGGAGGCAGCAGUGGGGAAUCUUGCCCAAUGGGCGGCAGCCUGAUGCAGAAACGCCGCGUGCGGGAUGACGGUCUUCGGGUUGUAAACCGCUUUCAGCAGGGGCGAAGCUUGUGGUGACGGUACCUGCAGAAGAAGCACCGGCUAACUACGUG
rnacentral:rRNA from 1 species